GACAGGCUUAACACAUGCAAGUCGAGGGGCAGCACAGGUAGCAAUACCGGGUGGCGACCGGCGCACGGGUGAGUAACGCGUAUGCAACUUGCCUAUCAGAGGGGGAUAACCCGGCGAAAGUCGGACUAAUACCGCAUGAAGCAGGGGCCCCGCAUGGGGAUAUUUGCUAAAGAUUCAUCGCUGAUAGAUAGGCAUGCGUUCCAUUAGGCAGUUGGCGGGGUAACGGCCCACCAAACCGACGAUGGAUAGGGGUUCUGAGAGGAAGGUCCCCCACAUUGGUACUGAGACACGGACCAAACUCCUACGGGAGGCAGCAGUGAGGAAUAUUGGUCAAUGGGCGCGAGCCUGAACCAGCCAAGUCGCGUGAGGGAUGAAGGUUCUAUGGAUCGUAAACCUCUUUUAUAAGGGAAUAAAGUGCGGGACGUGUCCCGUUUUGUAUGUACCUUAUGAAUAAGGAUCGGCUAACUCCGUGCCAGCAGCCGCGGUAAUACGGAGGAUCCGAGCGUUAUCCGGAUUUAUUGGGUUUAAAGGGUGCGUAGGCGGCCUUUUAAGUCAGCGGUGAAAGUCUGUGGCUCAACCAUAGAAUUGCCGUUGAAACUGGGGGGCUUGAGUAUGUUUGAGGCAGGCGGAAUGCGUGGUGUAGCGGUGAAAUGCAUAGAUAUCACGCAGAACCCCGAUUGCGAAGGCAGCCUGCCAAGCCAUUACUGACGCUGAUGCACGAAAGCGUGGGGAUCAAACAGGAUUAGAUACCCUGGUAGUCCACGCAGUAAACGAUGAUCACUAGCUGUUUGCGAUACACUGUAAGCGGCACAGCGAAAGCGUUAAGUGAUCCACCUGGGGAGUACGCCGGCAACGGUGAAACUCAAAGGAAUUGACGGGGGCCCGCACAAGCGGAGGAACAUGUGGUUUAAUUCGAUGAUACGCGAGGAACCUUACCCGGGUUUGAACGCAUUCGGACCGAGGUGGAAACACCUUUUCUAGCAAUAGCCGUUUGCGAGGUGCUGCAUGGUUGUCGUCAGCUCGUGCCGUGAGGUGUCGGCUUAAGUGCCAUAACGAGCGCAACCCUUGCCACUAGUUACUAACAGGUAAAGCUGAGGACUCUGGUGGGACUGCCAGCGUAAGCUGCGAGGAAGGCGGGGAUGACGUCAAAUCAGCACGGCCCUUACAUCCGGGGCGACACACGUGUUACAAUGGCGUGGACAAAGGGAAGCCACCUGGCGACAGGGAGCGAAUCCCCAAACCACGUCUCAGUUCGGAUCGGAGUCUGCAACCCGACUCCGUGAAGCUGGAUUCGCUAGUAAUCGCGCAUCAGCCAUGGCGCGGUGAAUACGUUCCCGGGCCUUGUACACACCGCCCGUCAAGCCAUGGGAGCCGGGGGUACCUGAAGUCCGUAACCGCGAGGAUCGGCCUAGGGUAAAACUGGUGACUGGGGCUAAGUCAUA
rnacentral:rRNA from 1 species